GAAGUACACCCUCCAUUCCAAAUUAGUUGUCUUAGAUUUUGUCUAGAUACGGAUGUAUCUAGACACGUUUUAGUGUUAAAUAUAUCCUUAUCUAGACAAAAUCUAAGACAAGUAAUUUGGGACGGAGGUUGUAUGAA
rfam:Hordeum vulgare subsp. vulgare, WGS project CAJW01000000 data, contig: morex_contig_138255